rnacentral:rRNA from 1 species
UUGAACGCUGGCGGCAUGCUUUACACAUGCAAGUCGAACGGCAGCGGGGGCUUCGGCCUGCCGGCGAGCGGCGGACGGCUGAGUAACGCGUGGGAACGUACCCCAAAGUGAGGAAUAACUGCCCGAAAGGGUGGCUAAUGCCGCAUAUGGUCUUCGGAUUAAAGGAUUUAUCCGCUUUGGGAACGGCCUGCGUACGAUUAGAUAGUUGGUGGGGUAAAGGCCUACCAAGUCUACGAUCGUUAACUGGUCUGAGAGGAUGAUCCGUCAGACUGGAACUGAGAUACGCUCCAGACUCCUACGGGAGGCAGCAGUGAGGAAUCUUCCACAAUGGACGAAAGUCUGAUGGAGCAACGCCGCGUGCAGGAUGAAGGCCUUCGGGUCGUAAACUGCUUUUAUAAGUGAAGAAUAUGACGGUAGCUUAUGCAUAAGCACCGGCUAACUACGU